GGAAAUGCCCCUCACUUGACAAAGAGGUCAAAGCCGUCAUUCAGGCAGUAACAACGAAGAGAACUGGAAGGACAACGUUUACUACAGAUGGACUUCACGAUAUCAUUCGAGUUGCCCAAAUGCCCAACGUUUUAUUGGUUCCCUUUCAUCCUCGGCACGGGUUGCGCAUGCGCGAUCAUUCAACGACGUUCUGUCUCAGAAAGACCCCAGUACUUCGGGGUGUCAGCAUCAGGCAUGGAUGAACAAAGGAACGAUGGACACACACCUCCUGCGUUUACCUUCAUCGACAAAGCAAUCCCGCAUAAAAGCCGCGAAGGCGGCGAGGGUGCCUUAGGCACUUCCGACGAUUACCUUACGUAUAUUGACGAGUACAUCAAUGACGCGUUCAAGGCGUUGAACCGCCAGACCGAUGCCACUGACGUCAAUG